AGUGAACGCUGGCGGUAGGCCUAACACAUGCCAGUCGAACGGCAGCACAGUAAGAGCUUGCUCUUACGGGUGGCGAGUGGCGGACGGGUGAGGAAUACAUCGGAAUCUACUUUUUCGUGGGGGAUAACGUAGGGAAACUUACGCUAAUACCGCAUACGACCUACGGGUGAAAGUAGGGGAUCUUCGGACCUUGCGCGAUUGAAUGAGCCGAUGUCGGAUUAGCUAGUUGGCGGGGUAAAGGCCCACCAAGGCGACGAUCCGUAGCUGGUCUGAGAGGAUGAUCAGCCACACUGGAACUGAGACACGGUCCAGACUCCUACGGGAGGCAGCAGUGGGGAAUAUUGGACAAUGGGCGCAAGCCUGAUCCAGCCAUACCGCGUGGGUGAAGAAGGCCUUCGGGUUGUAAAACCCUUUUGUUGGGAAAGAAAAGCAGCAGGUUAAUACCCCGCUGUUCUGACGGUACCCAAAGAAUAAGCACCGGCUAACUUCGUG
rnacentral:rRNA from 1 species